rnacentral:rRNA from 1 species
AAAUUGAAGAGUUUGAUCAUGGCUCAGAUUGAACGCUGGCGGCAGGCCUAACACAUGCAAGUCGAACGGUAACAGGAAGAAGCUUGCUUCUUUGCUGACGAGUGGCGGACGGGUGAGUAAUGUCUGGGAAACUGCCUGAUGGAGGGGGAUAACUACUGGAAACGGUAGCUAAUACCGCAUAACGUCGCAGGACCAAAGAGGGGGACCUUCGGGCCUCUUGCCAUCGGAUGUGCCCAGAUGGGAUUAGCUAGUAGGUGGGGUAACGGCUCACC